ACCAUGCAGUCGACGGUAGCACAGAGGAGCUUGCUCCUCGGGUGACGAGUGGCGGACGGGUGAGUAAUGUCUGGGGAUCUGCCCGAUGGAGGGGGAUAACCACUGGAAACGGUGGCUAAUACCGCAUAACGUCGCAAGACCAAAGUGGGGGACCUUCGGGCCUCACACCAUCGGAUGAACCCAGAUGGGAUUAGCUAGUAGGUGGGGUAACGGCUCACCUAGGCGACGAUCCCUAGCUGGUCUGAGAGGAUGACCAGCCACACUGGAACUGAGACACGGUCCAGACUCCUACGGGAGGCAGCAGUGGGGAAUAUUGCACAAUGGGCGCAAGCCUGAUGCAGCCAUGCCGCGUGUAUGAAGAAGGCCUUCGGGUUGUAAAGUACUUUCAGCGGGGAGGAAGGGGACGAGGUUAAUAACCUCGUUCAUUGACGUUACCCGCAGAAGAAGCACCGGCUAACUCCGUGCCAGCAGCCGCGGUAAUACGGAGGGUGCAAGCGUUAAUCGGAAUUACUGGGCGUAAAGCGCACGCAGGCGGUCUGUUAAGUCAGAUGUGAAAUCCCCGGGCUUAACCUGGGAACUGCAUUUGAAACUGGCAGGCUUGAGUCUUGUAGAGGGGGGUAGAAUUCCAGGUGUAGCGGUGAAAUGCGUAGAGAUCUGGAGGAAUACCGGUGGCGAAGGCGGCCCCCUGGACAAAGACUGACGCUCAGGUGCGAAAGCGUGGGGAGCAAACAGGAUUAGAUACCCUGGUAGUCCACGCCGUAAACGAUGUCGACUUGGAGGCUGUGAGCAUGACUCGUGGCUUCCGGAGCUAACGCGUUAAGUCGACCGCCUGGGGAGUACGGCCGCAAGGUUAAAACUCAAAUGAAUUGACGGGGGCCCGCACAAGCGGUGGAGCAUGUGGUUUAAUUCGAUGCAACGCGAAGAACCUUACCUGCUCUUGACAUCCACGGAAUUCGGCAGAGAUGCCUU
rnacentral:rRNA from 1 species